UGUAUUUGUUUGGAGGUAUUGUCACAUAAGUGGAAUUACAUUUCCAUCUGAUAGUUUGUAAUUGCACGGGAUGAUUUUGGCCUCCGAGGCGAAAAAAAUGCCCUCCAAUUGAGACGAGCGGCGGGAGAAAGAGCUAGACAUGUUCAGUCAAAUGGACGGUUCGAUAUCUCCGACAAGUAUAUAAGACCCCUGUCCAAGGUCAUAUUGCUAUGUAGCGGUCCCAGGUGCAGCCUUGGAUUGGCUUCCACCCUUCAUGUCCAUUAAAGGGUUAGCAACAUUGGCAGGACCAUCUGAUUGUGGUCCAUCAAUACCAUGGGAUUGUACACCUGAACAGCCCUGGAUGUCUGUCUACAAACGAGCCAAGCUUCUCAUCUUUUCAUAUACAUCUAGGGCU
rnacentral:lncRNA from 1 species